UCACGAUUUCUGGACAUUUUUGAGAGCAAGAAAGGGGCUGUUGGAAAACGACUGAAUUUCUUCAGCAAAUCAAACCUGUGAGCACUGACAUCACUGCAAAGCGCACAGCAGUUCUUCGUGGCCUUCCACUCAUUCUUGGAGAAGAAGCCUCUGACUUUUUUACAACAGCACUGAACUGUGAAUGUGACACACCCCAGAUUUCCAUCGGGAUACUGACUGUGAUACCAGAAGAUAGCUAGGAUUCCCCACAAGCACUGCAUUUGGAGGCUUCGAACACUGCAAUCAUCUUGGAAGGAAUCAUCGUGAUGGAAGAUCUUGAAAAUCUUCCAGAUGCCAUGUGUCUACUUUUUGGGCUGAUAUAUGCGCUGAAUUUGGAGUACCAUCCACAGCUCAAGAACACCUUUGAUUUUAUUCAGAGAGUGUUUCUUUCUCUUGGACACAAAUCUCUGAAACCAAAAGUACAGUCACUUAAAAACCUGCUGCUGAUGUAAGUUGAGGCUGUUUGAGAUGGUUUUAAAGGGAUAGUUGAAUCCCUUUAAUCUUCUGGUUGCACAGAAGGUUUGUUUAAUUAAACUUUUCAACUGUUACCUGUCAAAAUUUGUUGAAAAUAUUUUUAAACGUUAAAGAAUGUUU